AGAAGACUAACGCUGCAUGACUAUUAAUUGGCUGCGCAGCUGAAGUUCGCGUGCUGAUUGGCUGAUCAAUACUGUGAUAGCCCAAGACCAAAGGCAGAUGUUACAGAAAUCUCCCUGAGAUUGAUCAUUGAGCUUUAUCUCCUGAGCAAUUAUUGAGCAUUGCAAGCACUACAGACUCUCCACUGCACAAUAUCCGACCAUCUAUUCAGAGCACGACCUGCAUUUUUUACUGCAGCUGAACGCCUGGUUUUGGAUUUUCUCCAAGCAGCAGUUCUUCUGUAUUGCUCUUCCCUCCCACCCUUCCCAACCCUUCACCCCUAUACCCCGCAUCCCCCACCCCAAAAAAAAAAAAAAAAAAAAAAAAAAUCAUUUUAAGUUGAUCAAUUGUGUUCAAAUUUAACUGUUCUUUUACAUCGUCAGUUCUUUUAAUACUAGGUUAACAACUUGUUUAUUCUGCUAUUUUUCUUUUAUUAGAAAAAAAGUGUGUUCCUAUUAAUACUACAUUCAUAAUUUCUUUUAUUGCUACUGCUCUUUUUAUAUAAAAAAAAGUUUCUUAGCUGUCGUUCUUUUUCUUGUAAAUUAACUAACUUGUUUUUUUCUUGAGAAUACUUUGCAGGUUGUAUCGCUUCAGCAUUUUGUGAAGAUGCCUCGGAAAGGUAGGAGAUCCCAGGCUCAGAAAGUUCGUUGGACAAAGUUAGACCUGACAGGACAGACGAGCGUCAGUAAAGGUGUUACUCCGGUUUCUGAUGGACCGCAGUAUGAAGGUGGCGACAACACAUCUAGAGUUAUAUCCGUGCAGGCGUCUCAUUGUCAGAGUGAUGUAAGGUAUGAUGUUUUUUCACGAAAUCAUCAGUGCACAUGUGUAGCUCUGACAUUCCUUGCGUAUCACAGUGAGGGAACUUCAUUCGAACAGCGUGAUCUUGACAGGGUGUUAGAGGAAGGGGAUGCAUUGUAUGUGGGCAUUAAAAUGCAGCUUAUUGCUGAAGGAAGAUUCCGUCAGGAUCUUCUAAGCAUGGCUGAAGUACCUGUGAGCAUCUCAACUUCUAACCACAACUACAGCGUUCAGAAGUCAGAAGUUGUGAUGGGGUAUCUGAGAGACAGAGGAACUCCGGAAAUGGAUGCGUGGUGGAUUCCUCUUGAUGAAAGACUUCAGUGUCUCUCUACAGAUGUCAGCCAUGCACUGCUUAUUGUUUCUCCAGAGUGCUUUGCAGUGUUCAGAGACCGAUCUGGAAGAUAUGGAUUUUUUGAUUCCCAUUCCAGAACUGCUGAAGGUUUGCCACAUCCUACUGGUGACGGAACAGCAGUUAUGCUAACUUUCACCAACCUUCAUGACAUGAUCAACAGAUUAUUUGAACUUUUUUGGAAUCGUGGUCCUCAAGCUUGCUAUGAAUUCAUGGCUGUUUCAUUUGAAAUGGAGCAACAGUCUGAGGAACCAUGCUCAUCAUCAGCAUGUGUUUCUACAUCAC